UACGUAGGGCGCAAGCGUUAUCCGGAAUUAUUGGGCGUAAAGAGCUCGUAGGCGGUUUGUCGCGUCUGCCGUGAAAGUCCGGGGCUCAACUCCGGAUCUGCGGUGGGUACGGGCAGACUAGAGUGUGGUAGGGGAGACUGGAAUUCCUGGUGUAGCGGUGAAAUGCGCAGAUAUCAGGAGGAACACCGAUGGCGAAGGCAGGUCUCUGGGCCACUACUGACGCUGAGAAGCGAAAGCGUGGGGAGCAAACGGG
rnacentral:rRNA from 1 species